UCCAGGUAAACAACGCCAAACAGUCUCGAAGAGAACGAGUUUAACAACGAUAUUAACCGGGCAAUGCAGUGUUGGUAUAAAAGGGCGCGCAGAUCACCGUCAAGUGUGACCGGGAUGGGAGCCAGUGAAAUGCUCCGUGUUCUCCUUUCCUUUGAGGGAGUGGUAUGAACGAAAGCAAGCACAAAUGUAUAGUACUCAGUUUUCACCGGUCUGUAAGGAUGAACGUUCCUCUCUCGCUAUUAUUACCAUUACGCAGAAUAAUUACAUCAGCUGAGGCCACUUCCGGGCAUCGAUCUGUAACGCGAAUCAAUCCUCUGGAGAUCUGAGAGGAUGAAAUGGUGAUAUAUGGUGGUGUGUGAGGGAAAAACCUGACUUUCAGUCACUCUCGGAGUUCCAGUCUGUGGAACUGUGUGGGACAGUUCCUGGUAUUGCCUACAUAUCUUCCUGCGCAGCUUUUUUAAGUGCUCUAAUGAGAUAAAGUGGGCAAGGGAAAAAAGUCAAAGGGAUGCUGCGGGUGAGAAACGGGAAUAUGAAGAUGUGGCGUUUGGGUAACGCGCUUCUAAUUAAAGACACGGCCAUGUAACCCCCUCGAGGGACAACUCCUUCCGUCUGCGAGCCUCAAUAAAUUGGCGAGAAUCGACGGCGAAUGUUUCAAGACUUCACGAACGAGCGGCGCGCGCUCAGUGCCCUCGAGGAGCUUUCGGGAGUUUUCACCUCAAGUCUCGGAAACUUCACAGGAGAGACCGACCACACACACUUCCCACGCUCGAGUAUAAUAAAGGACAAUUCUCUUUAAAGGAUAGCUCACUCUCUCUUCGUCUCUUCGCGUUCUCGAGACUGAGCGCACGAAACUCAACAAAAUUAAUCGCGCGCCUAAAUCGCCCCAAAGCGCAAAAGGACUGAGGAAAAGUAAAAACACCACGACACGACAGUCCACAGGCUGUACCACGAUCAAGGACUUGGGCAGUGCCGGACUUCUGCGCACUCUGAUUGCGGGAGCGAUGCGCGACUUGCGAGCUCCGGUGGUGGUCAUGGGGCUCGUAUUGUUAAUAUGCACUACCGUACACAGCGAUGCCAGCGCGAACAACGUCGACAACAAGGACGAGAAAACGUGGUUCAGACGGAUAAUAGACAUCAUGAGACAGAUGGAAAACAGCGCUGGUGUCGAGCGCGCGCAAUCAACCUCAGAGACAGAGCGCGCGCUACAGCCAAAGGACUCACAACAUAACCUCAAAACGAAGAAUGGAGAAACAAUUCUAGAAAUCUUUCCAAGAGACCUCCGAAAGAAAGAGAAAAUCAUAAAACACUUAACAGGUCCUCUUUAUUUCAGUCCAAAAUGCAGAAAGCAUGUCUACAGGCUUUACCACAACACAAGAGACUGCACAUUCCCUGCAUGUGCCCCAGAUAUACCCCAGCACAUGGACUUUUAACACAGAAAAAGUAUAGCCCACAAAUUCAGGACUCAUCCAGCUGACUAUCCUACUCAUCCAGCUUUACUCCUGUCCUCAGACUACAAAAGGUGUGCACGGCUCCUGACGCGACUGGCAGGGAGUCCGAUGUGUCAAGAGGGUUAACUUUACCAGCAUUUUUGAGGGGAAAAAUUUUCAGAUGCAUCCAAGUGCAAGAUUGACACAGCACUACAUUUCACUUCCUUUAUAAAGCAGGUUGAAGCCAAACCAGAGUGACCCAGAGAAGAAAAAAGCAGUCAACGUGCCUUUUGGACAAGAGAAUUCAAACCAACACGCAACAUUCCAUUUAAUCGGCACAUGGCGUCUAGAACACUGCUCUGCCUCUCCAGAGAAUAGCUAUAGAAAAGAAUUGAGAGCGGUAAAGGGAGAGAGAAUAAUGGGAUGCACUUGCCUGAGGACGGACUGCUGGACUCAGCUCAGAGCCAAUGUUAAAAUGCAUAUUAAGGACGUCAGAGAAUGAAAAAUAAAAACCAUCUGGCUCAUUGAGUUCUAAACCCUUCUGCCAAAUAAGAAAAACAAUUUUCCAGUAAUUUCACUAUGGAAAAAAGGGAUUGCCUUGGUUUUGCAUUUUGUUUCUCAUCAGAUAACGAGACUUUUACUGAUGUUUUUGUGUGACAUGCCUCAGUGGGGUUUACAAGUGUGACAUGCCUCAAUGGGGUUUACAAGUUGUGAUGUGAAAUCGUCAUUUAGUCCACUUCAGUGCUCAACUUUCCUCUGUUCUAGCACUGAAAACCCAUUAACUACAUGAAUGUUUAUUUUAUUCUGUUUGCCAGCAGAUGUUUAUGAGACAGGUUGAUAUUUGUGGUAAAUCUGUGAUCAAAAUGUUUUAGUUUUAGUGCAAGACUAUGAGUGUAUGACUGUGAAAUAUAUUCAGUAUAUUUUUACGUAUAUGAUGUAUAGUGACGAACUUAAUGUUAUGUAAAUAUUGUAAAAAUGAGACCUAAAAUCCCUCUACAAACAUAUAAGCAUCUGACGUAUGAAUGAAUCAUUGGGAUAUGUAUAUUUAAAAGAAAAUAUAUUUAAAUAAAUUAUGAUUGUUUAAA